rnacentral:misc_RNA from 1 species
GAUGAAGAACGUAGCGAAAUGCGAUAAGUAAUGUGAAUUGCAGAAUUCAGUGAAUCAUCGAAUCUUCGAACGCACCUUGCACCCUUUGGUAUUCCGAAGGGUACGCCCGUUUGAGUGUCAUUGUAAUCUCACCCCGGAAUCUUUUUUGGUUUCGGAGUGGACUUGGACGCUGCCGUGUCAUGCGGCUCGUCUCGAACGUCUCAGUGUGCCCCGCCCUUUGGCGUAGACAGCGUGAUAAGUAUCUUCGCUUGUCGAGCCUCUUCGGAGGUGCGCCCUCGAGCAUGGGAAGCGUGCUGCAAACCGUCUUCGGACAACCUUUGACAAUUUGACCUCAGAUCGGGUGGGACUACCCGCUGAACUUAAGCAUAUCAAUAAGCGGAGGA